rnacentral:rRNA from 1 species
ACCUCUCCCCCCCUAGCACCAAAUCAGCCUAUAUACCGCCGUCGCCAGCCUGCCUAGUGAUAGCCUUCCACAGCAGGCAGAACAGCCACCCCGCUAACACGUCAGGUCAAGGUGUAGCCCACGGGGGGGCCAGAGAUGGGCUACAUUUUCUAACCCCUAGAAAACACUACAGGCAACAUGAAAUCUGAGCCACCCGGCGGAUUUAGCAGUAAACUGGGCAAGAAACGCCCAAUUGAAGCAUGCCCUGGGGCGCGUACACACCGCCCGUCACCCUCCUCAACAAACCUUGUCCCCCCCCCC